rnacentral:rRNA from 1 species
UGACCUCGGAUCAGGCAGGGAUACCCGCUGAACUUAAGCAUAUCAAUAAGCAGAGGAAAAGAAACCAACAGGGAUUGCCUCAGUAACGGCGAGUGAAGCGGCAACAGCUCAAAUUUGAAAUCUGGCUCUUUUAGGGUCCGAGUUGUAAUUUGUAGAGGAUGCUUCGGCGUCGGCUCCGGUCUAAGUUCCUUGGAACAGGACGUCAUAGAGGGUGAGAAUCC